rnacentral:rRNA from 1 species
GAAUUCGCCCUUAGAGUUUGAUCCUGGCUCAGGACGAACGCUGGCGGCGCGCCUAACACAUGCAAGUCGAACGAGCGAGAGGGAGCUUGCUUUCUCAAGCGAGUGGCGAACGGGUGAGUAACGCGUGAGGAACCUGCCUCAAAGAGGGGGACAACAGUUGGAAACGACUGCUAAUACCGCAUAAGCCCACGACCCGGCAUCGGGUAGAGGGAAAAGGAGCAAUCCGCUUUGAGAUGGCCUCGCGUCCGAUUAGCUAGUUGGUGAGGUAAUGGCCCACCAAGGCGACGAUCGGUAGCCGGACUGAGAGGUUGAACGGUCACAUUGGGACUGAGACACGGCCCAGACUCCUACGGGAGGCAGCAGUGGGGAAUAUUGCACAAUGGGGGAAACCCUGAUGCAGCGACGCCGCGUGGAGGAAGAAGGUCUUCGGAUUGUAAACUCCUGUUGUUGAGGAAGAUAAUGACGGUACUCAACAAGGAAGUGACGGCUAACUACGUGCCAGCAGCCGCGGUAAAACGUAGGUCACAAGCGUUGUCCGGAAUUACUGGGUGUAAAGGGAGCGCAGGCGGGAAGACAAGUUGGAAGUGAAAUCCAUGGGCUCAACCCAUGAACUGCUUUCAAAACUGUUUUUCUUGAGUAGUGCAGAGGUAGGCGGAAUUCCCGGUGUAGCGGUGGAAUGCGUAGAUAUCGGGAGGAACACCAGUGGCGAAGGCGGCCUACUGGGCACCAACUGACGCUGAGGCUCGAAAGUGUGGGUAGCAAACAGGAUUUAGAUACCCUGGUAGUCCACACUGUAAACGAUGAUCACUAGGUGUUGGAGGAUUGACCCCUUCAGUGCCGCAGUUAACACAAUAAGUAAUCCACCUGGGGAGUACGACCGCAAGGUUGAAACUCAAAGGAAUUGACGGGGGCCCGCACAAGCAGUGGAGUAUGUGGUUUAAUUCGACGCAACGCGAAGAACCUUACCAAGUCUUGACAUCCUGCGACGGACAUAGAAAUAUGUUUUUCCUUCGGGACGCAGAGACAGGUGGUGCAUGGUUGUCGUCAGCUCGUGUCGUGAGAUGUUGGGUUAAGUCCCGCAACGAGCGCAACCCUUAUGGUCAGUUACUACGCAAGAGGACUCUGGCCAGACUGCCGUUGGCAAAACGGAGGAAGGUGGGGAUGACGUCAAAUCAUCAUGCCCUUUAUGACUUGGGCUACACACGUACUACAAUGGCGUUAAACAAAGAGAAGCAAGACCGCGAGGUGGAGCAAAACUCAGAAACAACGUCCCAGUUCGGACUGCAGGCUGCAACUCGCCUGCACGAAGUCGGAAUUGCUAGUAAUCGCAGAUCAGCAUGCUGCGGUGAAUACGUUCCCGGGCCUUGUACACACCGCCCGUCA